GGUAACAAAUUGGUGGUAUGGAAUUUUUCUUCUUGGACAGCAAAACUGCAGAUAAUAGGAUGGAUAAUUAUCAGAAGACAGCUCAGGCCAAGGUUUGAUCAUUCUUUAAUAAUACUUUGUUACCUGCAUUAAGGAUCUGAGACACCGUAAGUGGGAUGGGCU